GGAGAGGUGUCCGAGUAUGGCUUAAGGAGCACGCCUGGAAAGCGUGUUUAGUUAACGCUAACGGAGGUUCGAAUCCUCUCCUCUCCGCCA
rnacentral:tRNA from 1 species